UUUAAGUACAGUUGUGAGUUUCUGUGUCCAAUGUUUGACCGUCAAUCUUAUAAUUAGUAUUUUUUUUAUUGCUAUUAGAUGAUAAAAAUGAAUAGUACUUUAUGUGUAACUUAUUUUAUUUAUUUUUUUAUAAAUUUUUUAAAUAAGAUGAAUGGUUAAAUGUUGGACACGGAAACCCACAACUGCACUGACA
rfam:Oryza nivara chromosome 12, whole genome shotgun sequence.